GUCAAAAAGCGCCAGCCCUGGAGGCAGACAGUCUGGAGCCAGCACCUCAACCUUUCUGAAGCAGGCUACUUGCAGCGUCCUGGGAGCCCAGUGUGAUUGCAGCGGCUGUCACCACCCCAGAAAGAAAGCCCCCCCACCACAGAGACAGAGAGCUGCAGUAAUCCUGAGGUUCGGAGAGCCGGCUGAAGGGACAGUCUCGGCACCGGAACCGUGAUACACAGAGCAAAGGCCACCGAGCGAGCGAGUUCCAACCCCCUUGUGAGCAACUGGAGUGAGGAGAGCUGCCAGCCUGCGGGUU